rnacentral:rRNA from 1 species
CAGUAGCCACGGUAAUACGGAGGGUGCAAGCGUUAAUCGGAAUUACUGGGCGUAAAGCGCACGCAGGCGGUCUGACAAGUCAGAUGUGAAAUCCCCGGGCUUAACCUGGGAACUGCAUUUGAAACUGUCAGGCUGGAGUCUUGUAGAGGGGGGUGGAAUUCCAGGUGUAGCGGUGAAAUGCGUAGAGAUCUGGAGGAAUACCGGGGCGAAGGCGGCCCCCUGGACAAAGACUGACGCUCAGGUGCGAAAGCGUGGGGAGCAAACAGGAUUAGAUACCCCGGUAGUCCCUGUCUCUUAUACA